rnacentral:rRNA from 1 species
CCCUUAGAUGUUCUGGGCCGCACGCGCGCUACACUGAUGCAUUCAACAAGCCUAGCCUUGACCGAGAGGUCCGGGUAAUCUUUGAAACUGCAUCGUGAUGGGACUAGAUUAUUGCAAUUAUUAAUCUUCAACGAGGAAUGCCUAGUAAGCGUGAUUCAUCAAAUCGCGUUGAUUACGUCCCUGCCCUUUGUACACACCGCCCGUCGCUCCUACCGAUUGAAUGUGUUGGUGAGGAGCUCGGAUUGGCAGCAGUUGGUGGUUCGCCACCGGCUAUUGCUGAGAAGUCCUCCAAACCGCNCNAUUUAGNGGAAGGAGAANUCGUANCA